rnacentral:rRNA from 1 species
UAACACAUGCAAGUCGAGGGGCAGCAUGGUCUUUUCUUGCUAAGGCCGAUGGCGACCGGCGCACGGGUGAGUAACACGUAUCCAACCUGCCGUCUACUCUUGGACAGCCUUCUGAAAGGAAGAUUAAUACAAGAUGGCAUCAUGAGUCCGCAUGUUCACAUGAUUAAAGGUAUUCCGGUAGACGAUGGGGAUGCGUUCCAUUAGAUAGUAGGCGGGGUAACGGCCCACCUAGUCUUCGAUGGAUAGGGGUUCUGAGAGGAAGGUCCCCCACAUUGGAACUGAGACACGGUCCAAACUCCUACGGGAGGCAGCAGUGAGGAAUAUUGGUCAAUGGGCGAGAGCCUGAACCAGCCAAGUAGCGUGAAGGAUGACUGCCCUAUGGGUUGUAAACUUCUUUUAUAAAGGAAUAAAGUCGGGUAUGGAUACCCGUUUGCAUGUACUUUAUGAAUAAGGAUCGGCUAACUCCGUGCCAGCAGCCGCGGUAAUACGGAGGAUCCGAGCGUUAUCCGGAUUUAUUGGGUUUAAAGGGAGCGUAGAUGGAUGUUUAAGUCAGUUGUGAAAGUUUGCGGCUCAACCGUAAAAUUGCAGUUGAUACUGGAUAUCUUGAGUGCAGUUGAGGCAGGCGGAAUUCGUGGUGUAGCGGUGAAAUGCUUAGAUAUCACGAAGAACUCCGAUUGCGAAGGCAGCCUGCUAAGCUGCAACUGACAUUGAGGCUCGAAAGUGUGGGUAUCAAACAGGAUUAGAUACCCUGGUAGUCCACACGGUAAACGAUGAAUACUCGCUGUUUGCGAUAUACAGCAAGCGGCCAAGCGAAAGCGUUAAGUAUUCCACCUGGGGAGUACGCCGGCAACGGUGAAACUCAAAGGAAUUGACGGGGGCCCGCACAAGCGGAGGAACAUGUGGUUUAAUUCGAUGAUACGCGAGGAACCUUACCCGGGCUUAAAUUGCAGAUGAAUUACGGUGAAAGCCGUAAGCCGCAAGGCAUCUGUGAAGGUGCUGCAUGGUUGUCGUCAGCUCGUGCCGUGAGGUGUCGGCUUAAGUGCCAUAACGAGCGCAACCCUUGUUGUCAGUUACUAACAGGUUCCGCUGAGGACUCUGACAAGACUGCCAUCGUAAGAUGUGAGGAAGGUGGGGAUGACGUCAAAUCAGCACGGCCCUUACGUCCGGGGCUACACACGUGUUACAAUGGGGGGUACAGAGGGCCGCUACCACGCGAGUGGAUGCCAAUCCCCAAAACCUCUCUCAGUUCGGACUGGAGUCUGCAACCCGACUCCACGAAGCUGGAUUCGCUAGUAAUCGCGCAUCAGCCACGGCGCGGUGAAUACGUUCCCGGGCCUUGUACACACCGCCCGUCAAGCCAUGGGAGCCGGGGGUACCUGAAGUGCGUAACCGCGAGGAGCGCCCUAGGGUAAAACUGGUGACUGGGGCUAA